UAAAAUAUAUUACGAAUAUUUUUAUCAAGAAAUUUUCCAAUUUUAAAAAAUAAAUUUUUAGAGAUAAUUAUGACGGUGUGCCCUAGAUAUUAAACUAUAAAUAUAGAGCCGCAACCACACCAUUAGAACUCAGAUUCGUUAGCCUAAACAUAUCGUUUUGAUAUUAUAGCUUUUUUUUUUGUUGCUUUGGUUCUUUUAUGGAUCGAUUUAUUUUGCGUUAUUAUUUUUUACCUUUUCUUGAGGUUAUAUUUGUAUUGUUAUUAUCUUGGUCUAUGAAUUAUCAAGAUUGUUAUUGUUUUGCUGAUUUGUAUCGUGUGAAUUAUGUUUUAGGUAACCGCUCAUGGGAGUUUCUAUCAAGAGAUUGAAUGAACGAGUUGAUGAAGACAUGCCUCUUCAUUAAAUUCAUUAACAAACUUUUUACAUCAAUCGCGGAGCAUUGCGCUGAUGCGAAAGUGAUUUACAAGUUUUUGGAGGUCAAUGAGAUUGAUAAGACACAUGCUGUCUACUACAUAGCUUAUGCUUUGCACAUGGGAGUUUAAGAAUAAGGUGAAAACUGCUAAGGAGAUCUUCAAUCUCGGAAUCUCUAGGUAAUAUUUAUUACGAAUGAAUAGACAUGUAAUCAUAUAUACUUUCAUGUUUCUGCUCCUUACAUUAUAGACCCUUAUAAAUUUACUGAUUUUCUUU